UACGUAGGUGGCAAGCGUUGUCCGAAUUUACUGGGCGUAAAGAGCGCGCAGGCGGUCGUUCAAGUCGCGUGUGAAAGCCCCCGGCUCAACUGGGGAGGGUCACGCGAUACUGAUCGACUCGAAGGCAGGAGAGGGUAGUGGAAUUCCCGGUGUAGUGGUGAAAUGCGUAGAUAUCGGGAGGAACACCAGUGGCGAAGGCGACUACCUGGCCUGUUCUUGACGCUGAGGCGCGAAAGCUAGGGGAGCAAACGGG
rnacentral:rRNA from 1 species